UUAAGCCUAGUCUUAGCAUUUUAUGUCUUACCUUUAACAAAUUUCCAUUCAUCAAUUCUGAUUAAUCCCAGGCCAGGACGAGUAGACCCCAUUUGCCAGGUGGCCCCCGAAGGACAAUCCACAAUUAAAUGCUGCGCUCAUGGCGACAUCGUUUAUCACUUCGCGGACUUCUCAGUCUUGGAUUCGCUAGGCUCUCUGUCGACCAUUAUGGUUGCUUCAUUACCAGCGAUUAAUUUUGAUUGUUUCGACCAAGAGACGAGCAAAAAGGAAGCACUACAAACUCCAAAUCUUUCCAGAGCUUCGCUGUUAAUUUUUUUUUGUAUAUCCUCCCAAAAAGAGGGCCAUAUUUCACCCAACAGGAGACAGACAGUGCCAGGAUGCGGAGUGGGAACUGUGACCGAAAUUAAGCACACAGGACACAACUACACGAAAACGUAAUAAAAUCAUAAUCGUCGGAUCAACACAGUCAUCAGCGGUGUCACAACAGGCCACCAGGAGAUGAUGACAACAAACACACACCAGCCAUCCCGCAAUCCCGCCAACCGACUUCGGAGGACUCCGAAGGAUGCCACAAGGCGACCCAAGGAGCCCCAGCCGUCGUGGCAGAAGCAAUUGCCAGGCGAAACUCAACGAAAAAACAAGAGCCAAGCUAAAGGGAAAAACUGAACAGGAACAGAGAGCUGAGAGACAAUGAAGACGGCGUUGCAAGGACUAAAAGUGGCAAUUGCCAGGACGAGGACAGAGACAGAGGACAGUGAAACUAUAGACCAAAAAUCACUGUAUCCCCUGAAAGAGACCCGGACCUCAUCCGCCCACGCACAUGAAGAGCUGAUGUGCAGCUUCCGGUCCUAAGCGACGCACAGGUGCAGGCUAACGGUAAAGCUAUAGCCAAAGCAGGGAAUGAAAGAGAAGGACCAAGGGCUCCACUGCCAACCGAAUCCAGCCAAGCACGGCGAGCCAUAAAAACUUUGGGCUGGGAGUUAGGUUGGGCAACUGGAGGUGAUGAUGAAAAAUGCGACAAUGAAAAUAAUGCCCGGCACACGCAUCUCCAGCUCCAUCUCCAUCUGAAAUCUCCUUCCACAUCCUUGACUACGUUCACAUCCAAUCCGGAUACCAAAUGAGGGCUGAGCCACCGCCGACGUCCAGCGGCGAUGUGAAGCUAUAUAGAAGCCAUUCGAGGCACUUAAAGACACGGCGGCGGGUCGAUGCCAUUUUUGGUGUCUGGGUGUGAAAAAGUUUAAGUGGCAACAAGGACAAAAUCCCUGGAUUUACUUUUAUGCACUCUCACACUCCGACUCCCACUCACUCGCUUUCUGAGUGCAAUCUGAGAGGUGAAUGUCGAACAGUGUAAGCUUCCCCAAAAAGCAAGAAAAAAAAAUAAAAAUGA
rnacentral:sRNA from 1 species